CCUACGGGUGACAGCAGUGAGGAAUAUUGGUCAAUGGGCGCGAGCCUGAACCAGCCAAGUAGCGUGAAGGAUGACUGCCCUACGGGUUGUAAACUUCUUUUAUAAAGGAAUAAAGUGAGGCACGUGUGCCUUUUUGUAUGUACUUUAUGAAUAAGGAUCGGCUAACUUCGUGCCAGCAGCCGCGGUAAUACGGAGGAUCCGAGCGUUAUCCGGAUUUAUUGGGUUUAAAGGGAGCGUAGAUGGGUUGUUAAGUCAGUUGUGAAAGUUUGCGGCUCAACCGUAAAAUUGCAAUUGAUACUGGCAGCCUUGAGUACAGGUGAGGUAGGCGGAAUUCGUGGUGUAGCGGUGAAAUGCGUAGAUAUCAGGAGGAACUCCGAUGGCGAAGGCAGCCUACUAGACUGCCACUGACGUUGAGGCGCGAAAGUGUGGGGAUCAAACAGGAUUAGAUACCCGAGUAGUC
rnacentral:rRNA from 1 species